rnacentral:pre_miRNA from 12 species
GAAAGAUGCUGAACUGUUUUUGCGAUGUGUUCCUAAUAUGCAGUAUGAACAUAUUGGGAGCAUUUUGCAUGCAUGGUUUUGUAUCAAUAUA